GUGCAGGGGGGACAGGUGGUAGAGUCAAGCUUCUUUCCUCCCCCACUGCUUCCACACUACUGGACCCCUGCCACUUGCCCGCUUUACCUGUCCCCUACUGCUCCCUCCCCUGCCUGCCCCCUUACUGCCUCCCCUACUGUCUGUCUUCCCCACCACCUGUCCCAUUACAGCCCCCCUCAUCACCUCUCCCCCCACUACCUGCAGCAGUGGGGGGGAUGAAUUUAAGAUGAUCCUGCAAUAAUUAGAUUCUAUACAUGGAAAAUUGUAAUAAAUUUUAUACAUUUUUUGUGUAUAGAAUCUAAUUAUUGGGGGUUAUCUUAAAUUCAGACGCAUCUUGUAUUUGGGUAAAUAUGGCAAGUACUCUCUAAGAUGUUUAGUGGUCUCAUGGACUAUAUCUAGGAGCAGGAAAGGGUUGUUCUAUUCAAGGCUCUCUCACUGCCACCUUAUGUGUGACCUCGAAUGAGUUCUUUAACCUCUGUGUUUCUCAUCUUGAUCUGUCAGUUGGGGUUGAAGUUGCCUAACUAUCAACAGAGAUUCAACCAGUCUGUGUUUGCAUGGAGUUUUGAAGAGGUACAAUGCUACAACAGUAUGCGUAUCAAUAUUAUUUUAUGGUCUGUAAUUUCAUCAUAUAUGUGGAGGAUGAUUCAAGCCAUUCUGGAAAAACAGUGCAAAAAUAUUACACCAGCAGAUACUAUUCUGUAGGGAACAGUUACUCAAUUUCUGAAGAUAUAAAGUUCUCUUCAGAACCAAUAUGGAUGAAUUGAUGCUUUGUUGUGUGACAAGUUUCCAAAAGUCCUUGUGUAUAUCAGCCCUUAAAAGUCACAUUAAAGCAAUGUACUGAAUGUGCAACACAUAGUGCAACUGCAUUUUUUUUUUUAAACUACAGCAGCAUUAAAGCAGCACAACUUCCUCUGCUAAAAUACACAGUUCACAGUAAAGCUCAACAGGUAAAGUCACCGUGGAGAACGAAUGCACCAAUAUCUGUUAACUGAAUUCACUGGGACGGAUCCUGCUACUCAUACAUUCAUAUUUGAAGUACCUGAAAAUGGAUUGAGAGCUGAACCAAUUUUCAGACCAACUGAAUUCAAGGAAGCCUGGGGGUACCAUGAUCUCUGAAAAUCAGGUUGCUUCUAUUAGGUGCCUAUCCACAAAUUAAUGUUAAUCUAAUUAAUUCUAAUGUUAAGUCCAAGGUUUGAUAUUGUUGGUAAUGCUUUAUAGUAAUAAACUGAAAAUUUAGAAAACAAGGAGUUUACUUCUAUGUCUGUAGCAAACAUGUUGCUAGUGUGAGAGUCUGUCUAUGUGUACAGAAUAAUGAGAGUGCAUACACAUUUUUAGAGGGGUUUUUUGAGUUGUUUGAUACGCAUUUCAUUCAAAAUGUUUUGCUCUUUACAUGCCAUGUUUAGUAAGGUAUGAAACAGGACUAAACUCUCCCAUGAUCUACAACACCUGCUACUUUCAAUGGGGUUCAUUAAACCUUGUGCUCUGUAUAUUUAUGUUAUUUAGUAAUUAUAUAAGUGCAUAUCUACCCUGCCUUUGGGCAGAAUCUGGGUAGUAGUAAAACUAUAGCAGAGAAAUAAUUUAUAUGAAACAAAAAAAAUAAAAAGGUAACUCAUUUGCUUGCCUCA